rnacentral:misc_RNA from 1 species
GUAUUAAGUAUUUUUCGUCAACCACUUUUUUAAGGCGGUGACGUCAAAGGUUACAUUCUAAUCAGACAUGCAAAGUAGGUGAUAAGACGUGCGGGCCUUUGUUACGGGCCCGCACAGUGAGUGCACAGGUGUGUAUGGAUGAAAAUGGCUCAGGUGUGCACAUGCCCCGAGAGGCCAGCUACAACCUUUACCGUUGUUUUCAAUAAUGAUCCUUCCGCAGGUUCACCUACGGAAA